rnacentral:rRNA from 1 species
UACAGAGGUGGCAAGCGUUGUUCGGAAUUACUGGGCGUAAAGGGCGCGUAGGCGGCCUUCUAAGUCAGACGUGAAAUCCCCAGGCUUAACUUGGGAACUGCGUCUGAUACUGGGAGGCUUGAGUGCGGGAGAGGUGAGUGGAACUGCGAGUGUAGAGGUGAAAUUCGUAGAUAUUCGCAAGAACACCAGUGGCGAAGGCGGCUCACUGGCCCGGUACUGACGCUGAGGUGCGAAAGCGUGGGGAGCAAACAGG